GAUGAACGCUGGCGGCGUGCCUAAUACAUGCAAGUCGAACGCAUUGUGGUUGAAAUGAUAUGAAGAACUUGUUCAGAUUUGAUUUUCAACAUUGCAAUGAGUGGCGAACGGGUGAGUAACACGUGGGAAACCUACCUCUUAGCAGGGGAUAACAUUUGGAAACAAAUGCUAAUACCGUAUAAUAAUUAAAACCGCAAUGGUUUUAGUUUAAAAGAUGGUCUUGCUAUCACUAAGAGAUGGUCCCGCGGUGUAUUAGUUAGUUGGUGAGGUAAUGGCUCACCAAGACAAUGAUACAUAGCCGAGUUGAGAGACUGACCGGCCACAAUGGGACUGAGACACGGCCCAUACUCCUACGGGAGGCAGCAGUAGGGAAUCUUCCACAAUGGACGAAAGUCUGAUGGAGCAACGCCGCGUGUGUGAUGAAGGGUUUCGGCUCGGUAAAACACUGUUGUAAGAGAAGAAUGACAUUGAGAGUAACUGUUCAAUGUGUGACGGUAUCUUAACC
rnacentral:rRNA from 1 species